rnacentral:lncRNA from 1 species
GAAUUGCAGUGCUGGAAACAAAAAGAUUAACACCAAGAGUCAUAGCAACCGAACAAGCAACCAAAGACUAGGAACGAAACAAAAAUGGAAAAAACAAAAAAAAGAACAAACAAAAACAAAAACUAAACCAACGGUGGGUUACCUCCCACCAAGCGCUAGUUUUAAAGUCGCCAGCCCGACGUAGAGGAUCCCUUAACCAAAAUCGCUAUGAAACGUCGGCUGAAUUAGUCCGCGUGAAUGCAUAUCAUCCUCUAGUUCAGUUGCGGGUCCUCUUAAUGAGCAAGCAGAGCUCAUCGCAUUCAUCACUCUCUCGAACCAAGAGCUAUGUCAAGAUCUC